UACGGAGGGAGCUAGCGUUGUUCGGAAUUACUGGGCGUAAAGCGCGCGUAGGCGGCUUUGUAAGUUAGAGGUGAAAGCCCGGGGCUCAACCCCGGAACUGCCUUUAAGACUGCAUCGCUUGAAUCCGGGAGAGGUGAGUGGAAUUCCGAGUGUAGAGGUGAAAUUCGUAGAUAUUCGGAAGAACACCAGUGGCGAAGGCGGCUCACUGGACCGGCAUUGACGCGUGAGGUGCGAAAGCGUGGGGAGCAAACAGG
rnacentral:rRNA from 1 species